rnacentral:rRNA from 1 species
UACGUAGGGUGCAAGCGUUAAUCGGAAUUACUGGGCGUAAAGCGUGCGCAGGCGGUUUUGUAAGUCUGUCGUGAAAUCCCCGGGCUCAACCUGGGAAUUGCGAUGGAGACUGCAAGGCUAGAAUCUGGCAGAGGGGGGUAGAAUUCCACGGUGUAGCAGUGAAAUGCGUAGAGAUGUGGAGGAACACCGAUGGCGAAGGCAGCCCCCUGGGUCAAGAUUGACGCUCAUGCACGAAAGCGUGGGGAGCAAACAGG